UUUCUCUGAUGUAUCUGCAAGCAAAAUUUCAGUGAAGCCUAUGGUCUCCUUCAAUCAGGUUUGGGAAUGAAGUCAUGAGAGCUCUGUCUGGUUAGGAAACUGCUAUCAAACUAAAGCUAAUGAUUGUGUGGGAAAUAACCGCUCAGAGUUAGACUGAACUUUGACCAGCACACUCCUCUUAGGAGCCUUUCUUAGUUUCCAGACUUCUCUUUUGGCACUGAGGGGUUCUCUCUUAUGGAAAGAGCCCUUGUCAACACUUCCUUUUCGGGUGUAUAUACAGCCAUGCAUCUCUUAUGAACUGGAAUGUGUCCUGAGAAAUGUGUCCUUAGGCAAUUCGGGCGUGGUGUGAGCCUCACAGCGUGAAAUACACAAACCCGGAUGGUACAGCCGGCUAUACACGUAAACUAUCAGAAGCAGCCAGGGCCUCUCUUGACCUCUGAAAGGCCCUGGGAAAACCUGAAACCAAGGCAAGGCGAUGAAGUCUGGUCACUCAGCAUGAAGGGCCUCCUCAUGUUACUUCUUGACUUAGAAAAAGAAAAUGUUGUUGUAGAAGACCUGGAGCCACGUCGAGUGAGAAUCAGAUGUGCCUUUGGGACAAAGUGAAGCAAGGCACUGAUUUUUCACCCCAUGCGGGCAUCUCGAAAUCAGAUGGAAGGAAAAGCUGGUAUGGCUCCUUCAGAGUGGUUCUGAGGAAAAGCGCAUGCACUGUGAAAAUCCAAUUAAGCAGGUUGUGAAGUAGGAGAAACACCCCACAAACACAGUGGGCUGCACACUAGACACAGAGGUGGGUAUAGAAAACUAGACAGCACUCUCUCCAUUUGACUGCUCAUACCUUCCAGACUGCUGGCCCCAGAAAGAGAGAUUAAAGAAGCACAGAAGAAGCUCCAUCUUCACGAAAUCAGCCCAGAAAAGCAUCCAUCAGUCAUGACUGUAGCAAAUCCAACAUUUUAUGGGCUUGCCCCAGCUGACAUUGGGUCAGAAUCUAUCCUCCUGGUGUUUUAUAUUUUUUAGUUAUCUGUUUAGAUCAAUGACUCGAAAAAGCUCAAAUGACAGGCGAGCAGUGCCCUAUUCUAGCGCAGUGGAAACCAGCUUAAAGUUUUUCCUGUUACUCAUCUGGAGUUUCCUCUUCCUUACCACCGAACAUGAUUUAAGGACUGGUUA